GUAGGUGAACCUGCGGAAGGAUCAUUAACACGUUUGCAAAAACGUUUAAUUUACUAUACCAAAAACCAAACGCGAACUAACGUAGGCGCUAGUAGUGCGCUGAGGGGGAGUUCUCCUAGGAUUUAAUCUCCUGCUGCUCGAGAAGGGGGUUUCCGUUCGGACUGAGUCACACCAAACGCAAAGGUGGGUGCUGCUUAUCUUCCGUAUUCGUUUGCCUUGAUCUUGAGGCGAACGGUAAUGAUGGAAGAGGAACUCUUUUAAUUUCCCUCGGUGCCCGCCGAUCAACCCUAUUUUUUACCCCACUUCUCUUAGCAACGGAUAUCUUGGUUCCC
rnacentral:misc_RNA from 1 species